rnacentral:rRNA from 1 species
CAGCCGCCACGGGAAUACGAAGGGGGCUAGCGUUACUCGGAAUUACUGGGCGUAAAGGGCGCGUAGGCGGCACGAUUAGUCAGGCGUGAAAUUCCUGGGCUCAACCUGGGGACUGCGCUUGAUACGGUCGAGCUAGAGGAUGGAAGAGGGUUGUGGAAUUCCCAGUGUAGAGGUGAAAUUCGUAGAUAUUGGGAAGAACACCGGUGGCGAAGGCGGCAACCUGGUCCAUUACUGACGCUGAGGCGCGACAGCGUGGGGAGCAAACAGGAUUAGAUACCCCCGUAGUCCCUGUCUCUUAUAC